UGGGGAAUUUUGCGCAAUGGGCGAAAGCCUGACGCAGCAAUUCCGCGUGGGGGACGAAGGCCCUCGGGUCGUAAACCCCUUUUGUGAGGGAAGAAGUUCUGACGGUACCUCACGAAUAAGACACGGCUAACUACGUGCCAGCAGCCGCGGUAAUACGUAGGUGUCGAGCGUUGUCCGGAUUUAUUGGGCGUAAAGAGCCCGCAGGCGGCUUGGUAAGUUCGAGGUGAAAUCUCCCGGCUCAACUGGGAGGGUGCCUCGAAAACUAUCAGGCUUGAGGCAGGGAGAGGGAUGUGGAAUUCCCGGUGUAGUGGUGAAAUGCGUAGAUACCGGGAGGAACACCAGUGGCGAAGGCGGCAUCCUGGCCCUGUCCUGACGCUCAGGGGCGAAAGCGUGGGGAGCAAACC
rnacentral:rRNA from 1 species